CUCCUCCUCUCCUGCCGCCGCCGCCUCCUCCUCUCCUUUCCUCGAUGUCGCCAGGGCCUCACCCUCACUGGCUGCGGUGAUGGCGGCGGGGCGGAGCUCUUGGUGGGCCAGAGUCCUCUCCCGCGUCCGUCCCGGUGGGGCUGGUGACCUGCAGCCAAAGGGUGACGACGGCUAGGAGAGAGAGAUGAGAGGGAGAGAGAAGACAAGGAGAGGAGGGAGAAAGAGUGAGGAAAGAGGAGUUGCAGGUGCGCUGGCUGGUGGGAGAGGGACAAAGGGUCAUUGACCGCCGGCGAGGUCGGGCGGGGCCUAGCGGUUGGUUCCAGAUCCAGCGCAGGUCGCCCCCAUGGGUGAGCAAUGGAGGAUGGGUCUUGAAGGUUGGUGGAUGAGCAGGGGAGGCUGACAGCUUGGGGGAGGACCAGAGGAGUAGCGAAUAGCAGCAACUCGUUUCUCAACUUCCUCCAGAAUCUUGCCGAGGAUUUUAUUGCAACAACAGGGUUCUGGCUAUUUUUGUUUUCAGAAUUUGUCAAAGAAAUUCUGCUUAGGCGCUUUGACCUGGCCAGUGAUCUCAUCUCACAUUGCGGUUUUGAAACUUGUCAAUGAAAUUCUGGUCAAUCAGUCUCCGCCAUCAUGUAACCCACCUGGUCGAGCCCCCACCCUGGCGGUUGCCUAAAGAGGAGGAGAGGUCGAGGAUGGCUCCCAUAGCAUGUCACAGGGUUAGCGAGGAGGAGGUUGUCCUCAAAGAGGUAGUGUCGUGUCUUGGCGGCCACCUCUCCUCAUCUCCUCCUAACAAGUGCAGGCUCGAUGGUUCAUGGCGUCCUCGCCGUCAUGGUUUGGCUACUGCUUGGCCUGACUCUACUUGUGCUGCUACUAUGUGCUACUAUAUGUUGUUGGUUGCCUCCUUAGUUGGUUAUUUGUGAAUCUGAAAACACUUUCUGAGAAGCAAGGAUUGAAGAGAAGGCUAUGCGCCAAUGAGAAGAGCUUCAUUUUCAGAUUUUUUUAAGAAUUGCUGAAGACCAUGUCAUAUGUUCAGUCACUAACAUUCCCUCUAUGGUGUACGCACUUGUUGUCCGUUUCAUUGGAGGGAGAGGAAGACUCUUUGUGAGAAUCAAGUAUUGAAGAGAAGGCUUAUGAGCCAAUGAGAAAACCUGAACUUUAGUUUUUUAUUUAAGAACCGAUGAAGGGCACGUCAUAUGUUCAGUUCCUUACAUUUUCUCUAUGAUGUAUGUACCUGCUGUUCAUGGCAUCCGAGGGAGAGGACAACAAGAGUAAGAAAGCCUUGCGGCGUGAAGGCAGUAGCACGCAGCACCAAGUCAAGCGCAUUGGCCUCGAUGGCAAGAGAUCAGUACCAUCAGGUUCGCUUGACUGCUUGCUAGCCCAACAUUGAACAGUACCCUUUAAAAAAGCUACAUGGUGGACGCUAUUUGUCAUAUUUUGACCGAUGAAUCUGUUUGAAUAGAUUAUACAGGAUUGAUGUAAUUAUCAGAUGAUUGCAGUCUACCCCAGGAUACAUAUUGGUUAUUUGGAUGCUUUCAUUUAAAGAUUUGCAAGAUCAAUGAGGAUUCGGGCUGCGGGGAGGGGUCUGGUGAUAGGAAACAUGGGUCCAAGAAGAAAUCAAAGAGCAUG